GAUAAACGCUGGCGGCGCACAUAAGACAUGCAAGUUGAACGGACUUAAUCGAAAUAUUUAUAUUUCGAAGCGGUUAGUGGCGGACUGGUGAGUAACGCGUAAGGAACCUGCCUAUUAGAGGGGAAUAACAGUGAGAAAUCAUUGCUAAUACCGCAUAUGCCAUAGAUAUCACAUGAUAACAGUGGGAAAGGAGCAAUCCGCUAAUAGAUGGCCUUGCGUCUGAUUAGAUAGUUGGUGGGGUAACGGCCUACCAAGUCGACGAUCAGUAGCCGGACUGAGAGGUUGAACGGCCACAUUGGGACUGAGAUACGGCCCAGACUCCUACGGGAGGCAGCAGUCGGGAAUAUUGCGCAAUGGAGGAAACUCUGACGCAGUGACGCCGCGUAUAGGAAGAAGGUUUUCGGAUUGUAAACUAUUGUCGUUAGGGAAGAGAAAGGACAGUACCUAAGGAGGAAGCUCCGGCUAACUACGUG
rnacentral:rRNA from 1 species